AGCUGGGGUUCCCCCUGGGUGCCCUGAACCCAGAGAGUCCCAACCCCCAACGAAAAGAAAAGUGAAAGAGCAAUUAGGCAGAUUUUCCUUGAGGAAGUGAAAAUAGAGAUGAAAUCUGAGUAACAACUUUUAGCAACGAAAUGGGAGAGGAAGAGUAUUCUAGGAAGAGCUCAGGGAAUGAUUGCAAUGGGAGCCUUAUUAGAACUUCAUAAAGGUUUGCCUACCUUGAGAUGAAGUAGAUCUGCCAAGCCCACUCCCUGCUUGCAUAAGAUGCAAUUUGAGAUGAGAAGUCACAGGAAGAUCCCAAAUGUGUCCAAUCCGUAUGUAUAUGAACACCUAUACAUAGAAGAUGGACCGAAGAACGAAGAAGCCCGUUUCCUGCAGGGCACUGUAUCUGGUCCAACAGAGUCAUCAUAAAAUUCUAACCUGAAUGUUGUAUGUACAGGAUAUUAGCUCUGUGGCCUUCUAUUUGGUCUCCUUUUUUUUUUUUUUUUUUUUUUUUUUUUUAACACCUUUAUGUUCUUUAAAUAGCCAGGCCAUAGUUUGGAAUGUUCAUAAGGCAUGUAAAUAAUAGGUUUCCCCCACACACACACACAAUUGAGGAUGGAAUUUGCAUGUCUUUAAGAUUAUUUAAAGGGUUUCACUAGGUUACUGGGACAUUCAAAUUAAAAAAAAAAAAAAACUUCUGGCACCGUGACAUGUCCUGAUCCUCUGGAGUUACAUUCCAGGGGUCUGAAAUUUUACCUUCCUAUUCUCUGCGCUCUGUGAAACCAAGAGUGCUUGCUUCUGCUUCACAGCAGCAGAGACAAUGAUUAAUAAUCUGUGAUUAACAUUCCACUGGUCUGAGAGUAAGGGGGACAGAGUUGAAUCCCAUUUCUGCCUGCAGCUAAUUUUGCAGCUUUAAGAUCCUCAUUUAAAUUUUAUUGGCUCCAGUUUUAAAAAAUUACAAACCAGUGUAGUUUGACUAGAUGACCUUGAUGCCUCCAAAGCAUGAUGCUAUUCUUUUAACUUAUUGAGAAUUGCCUCUUCCUUGAGUGAAUUGACUCCAAAUACCUAGAUUUUUUUCUAUAAGUUAUAUACCUGCUGCCUAUCUGGAGUUGGGUGAAUUUGUUUUG
rnacentral:lncRNA from 1 species